GAUUCUUUUACAAUGACUUUUCAUGCUCCCCAGAAUUUAGAGUUAUAUCUUUGUGCUAAAACAGAAAUAGAUACAGCUGAUGAUAGACUGUCUCCUCCUUCAAAGUCUUUAAAGAUAGCAGGAUAUGGGGAUUAUCAAGAAUCCAAAACCUCUUUUCUCUGUUCAUGUACACAUUUACACCACAAAUGAAAGCAGUGAAAUAAGUGGCAUUUGUGGAAGGAAGCUCUUCUUCUUGUCUCUCAUGUAAGUAACUGCACAUCCUGCAGGCUGCCUGUGUGACAUGGAGAAGAUGCCUGCGGAUGCCACAGAAAGGUACCUAAAGAAGUGUGAUCAUUUUAUCAUGAUAGAGGCCGUGCAGCACAUGACAUCCAUGGCGAUGAAAACGUUGCAGAAGAGGCGCCCGAAGAUCCACUCGCCGCCGAUGAGGUCGGUCACGCUUACGAAGGGCAUGACAGCCAGGGCCACCGAGAGGUC